CUUUUUGCCAUUGCAAACUGAAGACAAGAAUCACUUCCUGAUCACUGGGUUGUUGUAAGGUGACUUAGUGUGGGGCCCGUUGAUAAAACCAAAUGGGAUUGGUCACCAGAAAGACCAAGUGAAGAGACGGCUGAAAGUUUUUCCCUCACCUACCAAUUCUGGGAAGGAAUGUGGAGAGCAGGAGAUUACACUCUGCAAAAAUUCUUGGACAGCAAGAUUUGAUGUACUUCUGAGUUAGUGAAUGCAUCCAUGUUCUAGAAAGGUGGUGCACCUCAGUUCAAAGGGACAGAAGUUCUCGCACUGGGAUCCUUCCAGACCUUCACCCUACAUAAUUUUCAUCUGGCUGUGCAUCUGUGUCUUUUAUAAUAUCUUUUAUAAUAAACCAGUAAAUGUAAGUAAAAUGCUAUUCUGAUUUCUGUGAACCAUUCUAGCAAAUUA
rnacentral:lncRNA from 1 species